rnacentral:rRNA from 1 species
UACGUAGGGGGCGAGCGUUAUCCGGAAUCAUUGGGCGUAAAGGGCGCGUAGGCGGAUAUUUAAGUCAGGGGUGAAAUCCCAGGGCUCAACCCUGGAACUGCCUUUGAUACUGUCGAUCUGGAGUAUGGAAGAGGUGAGUGGAAUUCCGAGUGUAGAGGUGAAAUUCGUAGAUAUUGGGAAGAACACCGGUGGCGAAGGCGGCGACCUGGUCCUUGACUGACGCUGAGGCGCGAAAGCGUGGGGAGCAAACAGG